rnacentral:rRNA from 1 species
UACGUAGGGGGCAAGCGUUGUCCGGAUUUAUUGGGCGUAAAGAGCGUGUAGGCGGCUAGGUAGGUCCGUUGUGAAAACUCGAGGCUCAACCUCGAGACGUCGAUGGAAACCAUCUGGCUAGAGUCCGGAAGAGGAGAGUGGAAUUCCUGGUGUAGCGGUGAAAUGCGCAGAUAUCUGGAGGAACACCGGUGGCGAAGGCGGCAUCCUGGACCGACACUGACGCUGAGGAGCGAAAGCCAGGGGAGCAAACGGG